rnacentral:rRNA from 1 species
GUAGGUAACGUACCCUCGGGGCGAGGACAGCCACGGGAAACUGUGGGUAAUACUCGAUAAACUUCCCAAUCAUUAUUGGAGGGGAAGCAAUGGGUGUGAUUCCACCUGAGGAGCGGCUUACGCAGUAUCAGCUAGUUGGUGAGGUAACGGCUCACCAAGGCUACGACGCUUAGGGGGUGUGAGAGCAUGGCCCCCACCACUGGCACUGAGACACUGGCCAGACACCUACGGGUGGCUGCAGUCGAGAAUCUUCGGCAAUGGACGCAAGUCUGACCGAGCGACGCCGCGUGUGGGAUGAAGGCCUUCGGGUUGUAAACCACUGUCAGAGGGGAUGAAGUGUACGAGAGUUAUCUCUUGUAUUUGACAGAGCCUCAGAGGAAGCACGGGCUAAGUUCGUGCCAGCAGCCGCGGUAAUACGAACUGUGCGAACGUUAUUCGGAAUCACUGGGCUUAAAGGGUGCGUAGGCGGUUAUCUAAGUCAGGUGUGAAAUCUCUCGGCUCAACCGGGAAACUGCGCUUGAAACUGGAUGACUG